rnacentral:rRNA from 1 species
AUUGAACGCUGGCGGCAGGCCUAACACAUGCAGUCGAGCGAGCGGCGGACGGGUGAGUAAUGUAUGGGGACUGCCCGAUAGAGGGGGAUAACUACUGGAAACGGUAACUAAUACCGCAUACUAUCGGAUAACCCAUAUGGGAUUAGAUAGUUGGUGAGGUAAUGGCCCACCAAGGCGACGAGCCCUUGCUGGUCCGUGAGGAGGAUCAGCAACACGUGGACUGAGACGCGGCCCAGACUCCUACGGAGGCAGCAGUGGGGAAUAUUGCACAAUGGGCGCAAGCCUGAUGCAGCCAUGCCGCGUGUAUGAAGAAGGCCCUAGGGUUGUAAACCUCUUUCGCUAUCGAACGGGUAGGUGGAGAAGAAGCGCCGGCUAACUACGUGCCAGCCGCCGCGGUAAUUC